rnacentral:sRNA from 2 species
GGUAAACCUGCGAGAAGGAUUGAUGCGGCAUCCUUUUUUGAAAGCUUAAAAUAGCUUAUACUUUAGGCUAUGCCGAGUUUGUGUUAAAAUAACUGUUGUAGAACGUUAACCAAAAGUGCUUACAAAAAAGAUAUAGCGGAAAGCCUGUUUGCCA